rnacentral:rRNA from 1 species
UACGAAGGGGGCUAGCGUUGCUCGGAAUUACUGGGCGUAAAGGGCGCGUAGGCGGACAGUUUAGUCAGAGGUGAAAGCCCAGGGCUCAACCUUGGAAUUGCCUUUGAUACUGGCUGUCUUGAGUUCGGGAGAGGUGAGUGGAAUGCCGAGUGUAGAGGUGAAAUGCGUAGAUAUCUGGAGGAACACCGGUGGCGAAGGCGCAUCCUGGACCGGCAUUGACGCUGAGGCGCGAAAGCCAGGGGAGCAAACAGG